UACAGAGGGGGCAAGCGUUAUUCGGAUUAUUGGGCGUAAGGGCGCGUAGGCGGCUUGGCAAGUGGAAGGUGAAUCCCUCGGCUUAACCGAGGAACUGCCCUCCAAACUGCUUUGCUUGAGGCCGGGAGAGGUGAGUGGAAUUCCCAGUGUAGCGGUGAAAUGCGUAGAUAUUGGGAGGAACACCAGUGGCGAAGGCGGCUCACUGGACCGGGUUCUGACGCUGAGGCGCGAAAGCGUGGGGAGCAAACGGG
rnacentral:rRNA from 1 species